rnacentral:rRNA from 1 species
GACGAACGCUAGCGGCGUGCUUAACACAUGCAAGUCGAACGGAAAGGCCCUGCUUUUGUGGGGUGCUCGAGUGGCGAACGGGUGAGUAACACGUGGGUAACCUGCCCUUGACUUUGGGAUAACUUCAGGAAACUGGGGCUAAUACCGGAUAGGAGCUCCUGCUGCAUGGUGGGGGUUGGAAAGUUUCGGCGGUUGGGGAUGGACUCGCGGCUUAUCAGCUUGUUGGUGGGGUAGUGGCUUACCAAGGCUUUGACGGGUAGCCGGCCUGAGAGGGUGACCGGCCACAUUGGGACUGAGAUACGGCCCAGACUCCUACGGGAGGCAGCAGUGGGGAAUAUUGCACAAUGGGCGGAAGCCUGAUGCAGCAACGCCGCGUGCGGGAUGACGGCCUUCGGGUUGUAAACCGCUUUCGCCUGUGACGAAGCGUGAGUGACGGUAAUGGGUAAAGAAGCACCGGCUAACUACGUG